CUUCAGAAGGCGGUGUGGUGGUGCCUGAGGUGCUCGCUUUGAUAGUGGUGGCUGCUGGGGGUGCUCACGGAAGGUGUGUGGUCGCUCAGCUCUCAGCCCAGCGUGGCUGCACCGCCUCCCAUUGACUCCUCUGAGCCGGGGGCUCAAUGGUUAAACGUCCCUGCUCUUGGUCUGCAAGAGCAACAACGGGUAUCUCCUGCUGGAUCCGUCUGCUCCAUCAAACCUGGCAAACAGCACAGAUUGUUUUGCCGUGAACAGAAAUCACGCCCCGGGGCUACGACUGAAAGGAGAGGUUGACAUACUUACCUAGCAAUCUUGUUAUCAUUAGCUGUGCUUUCUCCAAAACCCCAAAUCCCAAGAACAGCAGCAGCAGAAAACGUUGCAGGUUUUGUGAGCAGAUGCCUGGAGAUAACAAAUUGCUUUGCUCUUUGUUUGACUCCUUGGCACUUAGUUGUUAAUUAAAAUGAGGCCAAGUGUGCUUAGAUGGUUCAUAUGGAGGGGAAAAAAAAGCCAAGCUUGCUUGUGGAAUGAAGCAGAACUGCCUUUGUGAGAAAUGGGGGCACCAUCCCAUGCAAAGUCAGCGUUAAUCUUUCAGACUAUGAAGCAGCAGCACUAAUUCUGACCCAGCUGUUCCCCUUUUCAACAUAAUCUUUUGUGAUCGAGAGCUCUGCUGGUGUUGAAGUUGGUCCAAAGUACACCCAGGAUGCUGAGGUAGCACUGCUGUGUGCAGCACCACGUGUUUCUAUGAAUGGACUUGGAGGAUUAUUGUACAAAGAGGAGCCCAAGAAGCGUGGUUCUCCAGCUGUGAUUAUAGGCACAAGUGCUUUGCAGUGGAAGAUGUUACCUUAGGGUUGCAUAUGUGCCUUUCUUCUAGCUGGGGUGCAAAUGAUGCUGUUAGCAUUCAGUGUUUGGAUAUGACAUCUUCACCAGAAGUACACGUUGCAUUCCCCAGACUCAGUUGGAGUUAUUGCUGUACUUCAGGGAAGGCACAGUGAGGAAGAGCAGAGUGCAGAGGUGUAGCAGAUUCAUGGCUUGAAGUGGUGAUGGAGCACCUGGUGGGAGCCCAGGGGAGCUCAGGUGCAUGCAAUGUAGCUGAGUGAUGGAAGGGAUGGAGCCAGGAUCCACCCCUUCCCAGCCCUCAUUUACGGGUUGGCAGUAGAGGUGA
rnacentral:lncRNA from 1 species